rnacentral:rRNA from 1 species
AGUGAACGCUGGCGGUAGGCCUAACACAUGCAAGUCGAACGGCAGCACAGGAGAGCUUGCUCUCUGGGUGGCGAGUGGCGGACGGGUGAGGAAUACAUCGGAAUCUACUUUUUCGUGGGGGAUAACGUAGGGAAACUUACGCUAAUGCCGCAUACGACCUACGGGUGAAAGCAGGGGAUCUUCGGACCUUGCGCGAUUGAAUGAGCCGAUGUCGGAUUAGCUAGUUGGCGGGGUAAAGGCCCACCAAGGCGACGAUCCGUAGAUGGUCUGAGAGGAUGAUAAGCCAUACUGGAACUGAGACACGGGCCAGACUCCUACGUGAGGCAGCAGUGGGGAAUAUUGGACAAUGGGCGCAAGCCUGAUCCAGCCAUACCGCGUGGGUGAAGAAGGCCUUCGGGUUGUAAAGCCCUUUUGUUGGGAAAGAAAUCCAGCUGGUUAAUACCCGGUUGGGAUGACGGUACCCAAAGAAUAAGCACCGGCUAACUUCGUGCCAGCCGCCGCCGUAA